AGAAAAUUGGAGUAAAGAGGGCACGACAGUUAUCGAUACCCUUCGUCUCAUCUGCCGUCUUAAAGAGAUCUCUGGUUAAGCUUCAGAUUUGAAUUAUUCAGAAGGUUUACGGAAGGGCAAGACCCUUGAAGAGUAGCUGACACUUGAAAUCUUCGGUUGAGAAAGUAUUCUAGAGGCUCAAACAUGACCUCACCUCUAG